rnacentral:siRNA from 1 species
GGCUACUCAUCAAGUGCUUCAAGG